CUCUCUCCUCCCAGCCGGGGCUUAGCGACAACACAGCUACAGGGGCAUGAGAUGCUCAGAGGCCUGGUCCUCUGGCUGGUGGAGACUUGGAGGCAGUAGUGAAGAUCCCUGGAAGAGGGAGGCCGUGAAGAGGGAUGCAGAUACCUGGCAAGCCCACCUCCCUUCUAUGCCACCUGCCAGCCUUCUCUGACAUUCCCAAACCAGGGACCAACACCGCCAAUCAGGGAAGAUUUACACGCAUUUAAUUAUCCUGCACUGCUCAGAUGUCAGUCUCUAAAUUCCUAACACAAAUGAACAGAAGACAAAAUCAUUUGCAGGAUUCUGAAAUGAAGUUUUUCAGCGGAACACAGAGAAACAGUUAAAUUUUGCAAAGCUGUGAAACUGGAGAGGGGGCUGUCCUCCGAAUCUACCAACCAGAGACCUGGAAGGAAUUACUUGCAUGAGAUUCAUUUCUCUCUGUCUUUCUCUUUCUCCCCUCUCCCCGCCUAUCUGCACCAAACUCACCUGUCAAUUUCAUCAGCGAUACUUGAAUGGAUUUUCUAACCUGCCCCACUCCAAAUUGAUCAGUUAAUUAAGUUGAUCUCUACAAGACUGUUAAAGAACCAGGUCUUUUUCCUUUCAUGUUAUGCAGUUCCAAGUAAACUCCCUUUACUCUGGUAUCCUUAUCAGAAGCACACAUCACAGGAAGUGGAGCAUUCCUUAUGAAUAUCUUAAUCUGCACACAAAUAGAUUUUUUUCAAUGUGAAUUUGGAUUUCUAAAAGCACACUUACUGCAAGUACAUUUUGCAGCUUCUUGUUUCCAGAUCAGAAUUGAGUGAUUUUCUAUUAUUUAUUUAUUUAUUUAUUUAUUAUUUGUUACUUUAAAAUAUGCAAUUCUUGGGAUCAUGCAGAAUUGCUGUAUAUUUGCUUUGAAGAUUAGAAUAAAACUGGUAGAUAAUG